rnacentral:misc_RNA from 1 species
GAUGAAGAACGUAGCGAAAUGCGAUAAGUAAUGUGAAUUGCAGAAUUCAGUGAAUCAUCGAAUCUUUGAACGCACCUUGCACCCUUUGGACUGCUCCAAAGGGUAUGCUCGUUUGAGUGUCAUUGUACUCUCACACUCUCUGAUCCUUUGGAUUUGGGGAGCGGUGGACUUGGGUGCUUGCUGCUUCCUUGUGGCUCACCUGAAAUGCAUCAGUGCAUCUCUCGAUUGGACAUAGCACGGCGUGAUAAGUGUCUUCGCCGGCACCUCAUAUGAGGGUGGCCGAUCGGGAGCUCUGUGCUUUCAAACCGUCUUCGGACAACGCUGACAACUUGACCUCAAAUCGAGUAGGACUACCCGCUGAACUUAAGCAUAUCGAUAAGCGGAGGA